UACGUAGGCAGCAAGCGUUGUUCGGAGUUACUGGGCGUAAAGGGUGUGUAGGCGGUUGUUUAAGUUUGGUGUGAAAUCUCCCGGCUCAACUGGGCGGGGUCAGCGGAUACGGCGGAGCUUGAGCAAGCUAGGGGGCAAUGGAAUUCCCGGUGUAGUGGUGGAAUGCGUAGAUAUCGGGAGGAACACCAGUGGCGAAGGCGGUUGCCUGGGGCUUUGGCUGACGCUGAUGCGCG
rnacentral:rRNA from 1 species